rnacentral:rRNA from 1 species
GUGAACGCUGGCGGUAGGCCUAACCCAUGCAAGUCGAACGGCAGCACAGUAAGAGCUUGCUCUUACGGGUGGCGAGUGGCGGACGGGUGAGGAAUACAUCGGAAUCUACUCUUUCGUGGGGGAUAACGUAGGGAAACUUACGCUAAUACCGCAUACGACCUACGGGUGAAAGCAGGGGAUCUUCGGACCUUGCGCGAUUGAAUGAGCCGAUGUCGGAUUAGCUCGUUGGCGGGGUAAAGGCCCACCAAGGCGACGAUCCGUAGCUGGUCUGAGAGGAUGAUCAGCCACACUGGAACUUAGACACGGUCCAGACUCCUACGGGAGGCAGCAGUGGGGAAUAUUAGACAAUGGGCGCAAGCCUGAUCCAGCCAUCCCGCGUGGGUGAAGAAGGCCUUCGGAUUGUAAAGCCCUUUUGUUGGGAAAGAAAAGCAGCAGGUUAAUACCCCGCUGUUCUGACGGUACCCAAAGAAUAAGCACCGGCUAACUUCGUG